rnacentral:lncRNA from 1 species
UGAUAUCACAGUCAUGGGCUUUUACUUUUCCUGGUUUUCUUCAUGGCACACAAACUACCAGCUCCAGUGAGAACCACGUGAUUUCGGCCAGUCGGCUUCCUUGCAGCCGGCGGCGCCCUGCUCUGCUCUCCUGGUCUGAAUCACCAUCGACUUGAUCCCUCGCCUCUACUUUUCUGGGUCCCUCUGUUUGAGCUGGAGCAUGUUCCCAAGGAAUCUUAGAGAGGGGCUGUGAGAGGCCAGGUGUCUGGGUCUCACCUAGACUGUCUUCCUGCCGUCCACAGACAUGACUCAUGUAGGCCAGACACGGGACAGUCAGUCACUAGCAACCCCCCAGAACUCUGAAGACUCUGCUUUAUUGAGUACAAGUGAACAAUCCCUGUGGUAUGGAACUCCCGUAGUUCCUGACGCCAGGUGCUUUCUCUCAAAGACUCAUGCUCUUCAGCUUAGGGGAGAGUCUUGUUUAACUUGUGUACAUUUCCGCUCCUCCAUUUCUCCCAGAAGUCCAUUGGCUGGAUGCUGGGACUUCUAGGCUGGUCCCCUCUGCUCCUGAUCUUGUAUAUUA